rnacentral:lncRNA from 1 species
CGCUCCAGGCUUGGGCUCAUGCUCCUACAUCAACUUGCUUCCCUGAGGUCCAGUAUUCCUUUCCAAUCAUAUGAUCCUUUUCAUCUUCUCUAAGUCUAACACAAGAUUUGGCAGGUAAAGUCUCCAAAUUAUGCAACAAAAUGAUCUCCAUCGCCAACUCAUGGAACUAGUCAUUAUGGCUUCAUUUGUCAUCCUAUUGCAACUUGCAGUGUUGAAUCUGAACAUCUUUUUGCAUCUCUUCUACACCAUAUUCAUCCUCCUAUAUGUCAGUAUCCCUAUCAUGUCAUCUAAUAUCAUCUUGCCACUGCCACCACCACAUAGAAGCUUCCCUUCUCAAAUUUAGGGUUGUGAAUUAAAUUCAACGAGCAUUUGACAUACAUUUGACAUAUAGUGUGAUGCAGGAGCAUUGAGCCCAAUCCCUUUGGGCGUGUGAGGAUUGAGUCCAUUUGUUGGGGCAUGUCAAGUUCCCUUUGAGUCCUAGCGUCCAACGCCCAAAAUCCCAUUGAGUCCAUGGCAUUGAGGAGUCCUAAAUUGGUUGGAGUCUAUUUCAUUUUGUUUCAUGGCACAUGGGAAGGAGUCCUAGCCGACUUGGACUCUAGUCCAUGUGGCAUGAAGAGUCCAAAGUCAAGUGGAGUCUUAGCUAGUUAUUUGAUUUAGUCAGUCGUUUGAUUUAAAAUUAAAAGAGUCCAUGUUUAGAAGAAGUCAUUAUUGAAGUAGGAGUCCUUUAAAUUUCAGAUUGUAAGAGUCCAGUUUGUCCCAACCUCUUACUCUAUAAAUAGAGAAAGUUGAAGAAUAAAAUUCAGAGAGAUUAAUUCAUUGAGUUUUGAGAUCCUUUCACAUGAGAAGAGAGAUUCUCUUCCCUUGGUGCAACGCCAAGAAGUGGCUGAAGGGAUAGGUGAGACGCCAACUCCCUUUCACGCCAACCCUUGGAUUGAAUGAGGGUGAGACUCUCAUUCAAGCCCAUAGUUAUCCAACCUUAUCUCACACCAUACCUUGCUCACACCCACAUAGAGUUCUAGUCCCAUUAGAACUCCUAAACCUCUAGCACGCCUCCAAGUCUCAUGCUCACACAAAUCAACUUUGGGUACAACCAAAGCCCAUCCACCCCCUAACAAUUCAAGCUCAAACCCCCAAUCCGGCCACCUCAGAUCGAACUCAAUUGAACCCAUUAGCCAUCCCCUUCCUCUUCUUCCCUUCCCCCUGCAAAGAGCCCAAGCUGCCAUUGAAGAGAAGGGAGAAAAAAAAUAGAGAGGGAGAUCAGCCGCCAUCAUCUGAGUUUCAGCAACCUCUCAUCCUCCGACUGCGUCAAGUAGUAUCCGAGCGAAGUUCCUAAAUCACAUUAAGUACCAGAAGCAGCUGCUCUUACAACAACGAAAGGCAAUAUGCUAAGGAGAUGGCUGAACUUCUCCAUCAAAUGGCUACCUUGAAUCACAGGAUGGAAGCCAUUUGGGAGCGCAUCUUUCUCGAGCCAAACAACUAUGAAGAUGACCUUGGCGCCUAUGAACACCCAAAAAAUUCAAAAGCGCCACAAGGAGAUUCCAAUGUCGAGAUCCAUUAUCCUAGGGGUCUUCCACCCCAGUGCCACCCAAAGGGUCCCCGUGCACCUCCCCCCAAUCAAUCCUCGCAUGGGGGUUAAUUUUGGAAACCCAUAUUGGCAGCAACAACAAUAGGAACGUGAUGACUUCGACGAUGCAUCGAAGCAGGUAUGUGUCAAUGUUUCUGAUUACAAUGGAAGCAUGGAUUCGAGCACCUUCUAGGAUUGGUUGACGUCGCUCGAAGAUUAUUUCAAGUGGUAAAACAUGACCAGCGAGCGAAAGGUUCGAUUUGUGAAGAUGAAGCUGAAGGGCCAAGCACUUGUUUGGUAGUACAGCGUAGAGGAAAAGUUUCAUCGCCUUCGUCAGCCUCCCAUCACCAAUUGGGAAGAGAUGAAACUUCAAUUGAAAGAAAAAUUUCUUUCCCUUGAUUAUGAAGAGACCCUCCUUAAAGAUCUUCUGAAGCACCGCCAAGGAAAUUCAUCUGUGGAGGACUACAUCGCCUGAUUCCAUGAACUAACGAUCUACAGCAAUAUUACGGAGACGAAGCGGCAAGCCUUGGCUCGAUACCCAUCCAGGUUGAGGGAGGACAUCCGAAGAGAGUUGGUAACGUCUCGUAUAUUUAGUUUGGAGGAGGCGUAUCAAAUCACUCUUCGCGUGGUGGUGCAGCUGCGACAACGACGCCCUGCCAAUCCAUCAGUUGGGUGAUGGCCUCCAGAACACAGCACCAAAGGCACUCCUUUCCCUCAAGGUAACCUCCCUUUUAUGAGAUCUAAUACAUCUACAAAUAGGGGUCCAAAUAUGGAGCGAGGAGCAGCAAGGUUCAGCGGAAAAAAAAGAAACCUAUGGCACAAAGAGGGAGCCAAUCCGAGUACUACAAGUGCGGUGGGCGAGGCCACUUCGUCGUUGUUUGCCCUACCAAAGACCAGUGCUUUGUGUUGGUAUGUGAAGAAGAUGAGAUCGCGGAGCCCUCUGAAAUUUCUCCUAUACCCGCUGAGGUUGAAGAAGAGGAGGAAUGCAACAAAGAAGAGGCACUUGCGGUGGAGCUAGAAGAUUCAAAUCUGCCUGUUUGCAUUGUUCGCAGGAUCCUUAUAGGUAGCAAACAAGAGGAGGACGUGGAAGAAGAUUGGAGGCGCACCAACAUCUUCGACACCCGUGUCGAGUACCACAACAAGGCCCUAAAUCUCAUCAUCAACAACUAGAGUAGCAUGAACAUCGUCUCCAAUGACUUGUUGAAAAAGAUGAAGCUGAAAUCAGAACCGCAUCUCAAGCCUUACCAAGUAAGUUGGAUCGAUGACACCUCUAUUCCCGUCAAGUAAAGAUGCCUAGUUAGCUUUUUACUAGGCAAGAACUUCCAUGACGAUGUGUGGUGUGAGGUUCUACCCAUGAAGGUGUGCCACAUCCUUCUAGGAAGAACUUGGUUGUAUGAUCGGCGGGUGAAGUAUGACAAACAUUUUAACUAUUAUUCCUUAAUGUAUGCCAAUAAGAAAAUUGUUCUAAAACCACUUCGGAUUGCUGAUUUCACACCUGAAAAUCUAGUAAUCCAAAGGAUUUUAUUUACGAGGUGAUUUGAAGAAAUCGGCCAUGAGUUUGGUGUCAUGUUCCCAUUGGUUUCGAGGAAAGUUGGGUCUGAAAUUUCAGAAGUAAUACCAUCCGAUUUUCAAACUAUUUUAGAUGAUUUUUCUGACGUCACACCUGAGGAUCUUCCUAAGAAACUUCCAGCGAUGCGCGACAUUUAGCAUGCCAUAGAUCUCGUCCCAAGAUCUAGUCUACCGAAUCUUCCUGCAUACCAGCUGAACCCCAAGGAGCAUGAGGAGCUACGUCGCCAAGUCCAAGAGCUUUUGGACAAGGGAGUCAUCAAGGAAAGCCUCAGCCCCUGCGUCAUCCCAGCAUUGUUCACUCCGAAGAAGGAUGGUACAUGGCGUAUGUGCGCGGACAACCAGACCAUCAACAAAAUAACGGUGAAGUAUCGCUUUCCUAUUCUAUGAUUGGAUGAUAUGCUAGAUUUGCUGCCUGGUUCUUCUAUCUUCUCCAAGUUGGACUCGCAAAGCGGCUACCAUUAGAUCUGGAUUAGACCUGGGGACGAAUGGAAGACCGCCUUCAAGACCAAAGAUGGCCUCUACGAGUGGUUGGUCAUGUCAUUCGGUCUAUCUAAUGCAUCGAGCACUUUCAUGCGGGUUAUGACCCAAAUGCUGAAAUCGUUUAUUGGAAGAUUCAUAGUCAUUUAUUUUGAUGAUAUAAUGAUUUUUAGUCGAAGCCGAGAGAAGCACAAACAGCACCUUCGACAAGUGCUUCAAGUUCUACGAUGGGAGAAGCUUUAUGUAAAUCUGAAAAAAUGUUCCUUUGCUAAAUCUCGAGUUUUCUUUCUAGAAUUCAUAAUUUCAAAUCAAGGCGUUGCAGCAGAUCCGGAGAAAGUUCGGGCCAUACGGGAUUGACUAACUCCGAGCAACAUCCAUGAAGUAUGGAGCUUUCACGGCCUAGCUACCAUCUAUUGCAAGUUCAUCAGAAAUUUUAGCACCAUUAUCACGCCAAUUACAAACUGCAUGAAGGCCAAAUUUCUACAAUAGACACCUACAGCUAUCAAGGCAUUUGAGGAGAUCAAGGAGAGAUUGACUCAAGCCCCUAUUCUUCGACUUUCAGACUUUAAUCAGCUCUUUGAGGUCGUGUGUGAUGCUUCCCAUGUCGGCAUUGGAGGAGUUCGGAGGCAAGGACACCCGGUAGCUUUCUUCAACGUGAAACUCAACAAUGCGAAGAAGAGGUAUUCUACUUAUAACAUUGCGUUUUAUGUUGUUGUUUAAACCCUCAAAGAAGGUCCGCCGUACCGAUACCGAUCGGCAUACCGGCAGCAGCCCGGAGCGGUACGUAUUGGUCUCGUACCAGUCUCGUACCGGUCUCGGUUGAAUAGCCGAGUUUUGGAUUCCGGUGGAUUUUUUUUUUAAAAUUUUGUCUCUGUUAGAUCUUAUUGUGUCAAAUUAAGUGAAAUUUGAUGUUUUUUUCUUGCAUUUUUUUAUGAUUUUUGAUGUUUCUAUGUUUAGGUUUAGGGUUGAAGAUAGAUGAUGCAUCUUAUUACUUCCUUCCGUUCCAAAUGAUACAAAUGAUAAAAUGAUACACAAAAUAUCUUCAAAUUAAGAUAAAAUCAUUUACAUGCAUUUAAAGCACAAGUUCCUUCCGUUGUCGGCCACUUCUUUUUUAAACACGUUGUGGUCUUUCGGCCACAGUAAAAGAAGUGGCCGACAACGGCCACUUCGUUUGAAAAACCACAGCACGCCGUGCUGUGGUUUAAAAAAAUUUGAAAAACUGACAUAUCGGUGCAUACCGGCCGAUUCGCACCGGUACGUCACCGGUACAUGGCCGGUAUCGACCGAUACAGAAGAUGUACCGGUCGGUUCUCCAAAAAAACCAACCCGGUACCGGAUUCCAUGCUGAUUCGGUACCGAUUUGGGGUGGUACUGGUAUGUACCAGCCCGUACCGGCCCAUAUCCCUCAAGCAUUGGAAGCACCAUCUUCUUUAUCGAGAGUUUGUUUUAUAUACUGAUCAUAAUUCGCUGAAGUACAUCAACUCCCAAAAAAAACUUAAUACACGACAUGCCAGACGGAUAGAUGUGUUGCAGCAAUUUACUUUUGUUUUGAAGCAUCGAUCAGGCGUGGAGAAUCAAGUUGCUGAUGCCUUAAGCCAAAAAGCCCAUCUUCUAACUCUUUUAAAUGCAAAAGUAAUGGGAUUUGAAGACCUGAAAAAUUUAUAUGCAUCAGAUUUUUAUUUUCAGCCGAUCUACAUGGAUCUAUCCACAGGAAACCAACGGCAGCACAUGGAGUAUUCUUUUCAUGACGGGUUUCUUUUUCGAGGCACAAGGCUUUGUGUCCCAAAAAUUUCUCUUCGUGACCAUAUCAUUAGGGAGAUCCAUAGUGGAGGACUGGACAUUUUGGUCGUGAUAAGACCAUUGCCAUGGUGGAGGAUCGCUUCUUCUGGCCGACCCUGCGGAAGGACGUCAGUUGAGCCAUCAAGCACUGCUGGACAUGCCAACUCGCCAAGGGCACCAAGACCAAUGUCGGGCUCUACUCUCCCUUGCCUCUUCCGAGUUCUCCAUGGAAAGAUCUUAGCAUGGACUUCGUGCUAGGAUUACCAAAGACGGUACGUGGUCAUGACUCGAUUUUUGUCAUUUUCGAUCGGUUUUCUAAGAUGGCAGACUUCAUGCCUUGUUCCAAAACUUAUAAUGUUUCUUGAGUGGCUGCCAUAUUCUUGAGAAAAGUGGUUCGUUUACAUGGGCUACCAAAGACUAUAGUUUCAGAUCAUGAUGUCAAGUUCAUCAGUUAGUUUUGGAAGACACUUUGGGCAAAGCUUGGCACGCGGCUGUCUUAUUCCAGCGCCUAUCAUCCUCAAACCAAUGGGCAAACUGAAGUGGUGAAUCAAAGCCUUAGCAACCUACUUCAUUGUUUGGUUCGUGAUCAUGUGACUUCAUGAGAUCUGAUUUUGCCGAAUGCAGAAUUCGCCUACAACAAUUCCAUCAAUCGAACCAUUGGGCUAUCUCCGUUUGAGGUUGUUCUAGGGAUGAAGCCAUGGCAGCCUAUUGAUCUAGUCCCUCUACCCAACAACUCACGGAUCAGCGAGAGUAGAGAAGACUUUUCAAGGCACAUCCAGAACUUACAUGCUGAAGUUAGACACCGAUUAGCCACCAAUACCGAGCUAUACAAGCAGCAAGCAGAUGAAAGAAGGCGUCCCCUGGAAUUCAAGGAAUGAGAUCUAGUUUUGAUGUGGCUGCAGGCUAAACGGUUUUCUCGUAGAAAUUUUCAGAAGCUUUAUCCAAGAAGAGCCGGGCCAUUCAAGAUGCUGAAGCGAUUGGGAUCGAAUGCUUAUGUGCUAGAGUUGCCCGAGGAUCUUCAAAUGAUCCCCAUAUUUAAUGUUGAAGACUUGCAGCUCUAUGAAGGCCACCAUGCUGAAAUUAAAGACACCCCGCCAAUACCAGCACUCCCUCGACAAUCAGCCCCGAAAGAUGUAAUUGAAGACAUCCUUGAUGAUCAAAUCGUUUCUACACAUCAAGGAGGAUACUAGAAAUUUCUAGUGAAGUGGAAGAACCGAUCCCUUUCAGAUUGUUUGUAGUUGAAGACGGAAGAGGUCCAGCGCCUGAACCCAGACCUGUACGAGCUCUAUCAGUCGCAUAACUCGACAGAGCCGAGUUCUUUCGCAAUAGAAGAGAAUUGAUGCAGGAGCAUUGAGCCCAAUCCCUUUGGGCGUGCGAGGAUUGAGUCCAUUUGUUGGGGCGUGUCAAGUCCCCUUUGAGUCCUAGUGUCCAAUGCCCAAAAUCCCAUUGAGUCCAUGGCAUUGAGGAGUCCUAGAUUCGUUGGAGUCUAUUUCAUUUUGUUUCAUGACGUGUGGGAAGGAGUCCUAGCUGACUUGGACUCUAGUCCAUGCGUCAUGAAGAGUCCAAAGUCAAGUGCAGUCUUAGUUAGUUAUUUGAUUUAGUCAAUCAUUUGAUUUAAAAUUAAAAGAGUCCAUGUUUAGAAGGAGUUCUUUAAAUUUCAAAUUGUAGGAGUCCAAUUUGUCCUAACCUCUUACUCUAUAAAUAGGAAAGGUUGAAGAAUAAAAUUUAAAGAGAUUAAUUCAUUGAGUUUUGAGAUCCCCUCACAUGAGAAGAGAGAUUCUUCUUCCCUUGGUGCAACGCCAAGAAGUGGCUGAAGGGAUAGGUGAGACGCCAACUCCCUUUCACGCCAACCCUUGGAUUGAAUGAGGGGGAGACUCUCUCAUUCAAGCCCAUAGUUAUCCAACCUUAUCUCACACCAUACCUUGCUCACACCCACCCAGAGUUAUAGUCCCAUUAGAACUCCUAAACCUCCAGUCAUGCCUCCAAGUCUCACGCCCAAACCCAAAUCAACUUUGGGUCCAACCAAAGCCCAUCCGCCCCAUAACACUUCAAGCCCAAACCCCCAAUUCGGCCACCUCACAUUGAACUCAAUUGAACCCAUUAGCCAUCCCCUUCCUCUUCCUCCCUUCCAUCCGCAAAGAGCCCUAGCCGCCAUUGAAGAGAAGGAAAAAAAAGAGAGAGAGGGAGAUCAGCCGCCAUCAUCCAAGUUUCAGCAACCUCCCCUCCUCCGACUGCGUCAUAGUGCCUCACAAAUUAGUUGUUGCAAGUAUCCAAUCAGUGCAAUAUGUUCUUAGGAUCCAUCUUUCCCUAAAGCCUGCCACCUCAAAUCGCACAUGCUCCUCCAAUAAUGUGUUUAGGUGUAUCCUCUGAAAGUGGUCUCUCAUCCUUCAGUCUGAAAUCAUCCCUUGAAAGUUGCAGUAUCUCUGUCUUAAAUCAUGCAAAGAUUCAGGAAAAUCUUUCUGCUCCAUUCAGUAUAUUCCUAUAUUGAGUUCUUCGGUUGCUAAGAAUCCUAAUUUAGCACCUAACUAGCUCACUAAAUUUUUUCUUUCUCCUGUUUCCUUAACUCUAACCUGACAUUGCAUUUAGCAGCAAAACAGAAUUCGAGUGCUUUAAAUAUCCUACUGAAGGCUUUAAACCAGAUGGAUCAUCAGUCACAGUGUUAUAAGUCAUUGGAAAAAAAGGAGCAAGCAAAGGAUCUAGAACAAAGGAAAAGUGACAAUCAGGUUGAAUGACGGCAAAGUAAUCCAGCAAUAGGGUUAAGGACUAAUUACCAGAGUAUCGGGAGUUUAUUAGAAGUGACUAAAGAAGGUCAGGUAGAUAAGCACAUAAAGCUUUAGGGAAUUCAGAAAAGAAAGAAUUGGAAGAUUCAACUAAUCCAGAGCUUAAGAAGGCUGUUACCCCAAUCUACGUUCAGAAAACAAGUAGCUACUGUCCAGAAAAAUCUACGUUCAGAAAUUUGGGAAUUUACUGUAAUAAUUAGUAAUCUUUAAGAACUAAUAAAAACUAUGUUAAAACUGUGUGUAUGGAUUAUAAGGAUCUUAAAUUGGAUUUGGAAGGGGUUUAUUAGCAAAAAAAUAAUCAGUCCACAAGUACUAGCAGAAAGAAUAUCAAGAAUUCAGAUUAACAUUAUGAACCUAGGUUAAAUAUGAGAUUUAGCUUGAUGAUGGAAAAUAUCGAUUGUAGGAUGUUAAUUUGGAUAGGUGAAUCAUCACUCACCUAUCAGUUGAAAACAGCAGUUAAAUUUUCAACAAUUAAUAAAGGGAAUGAAGAAAAGAAUUUGAAGAGGAUGGAUGAGAAGAUUAAAAUAAGAAUUAAAAAUAUGUGAGAGAGAGAGAGAGGAGAGUGGCUUUUUGAGUUGAAGAAUAUGACAAAGCCUCAAUUCUUGUCUCACAGGCCUCAUGAUUCAAUGAGUAUAAAUGAAACAAUCCCUUAAUUAAAGCCCUACAUCCCCAAUUUAUAAAUACCCAAGAUGUCCUUAGAUUAGGGUGAUUACCAGUAGAUGCAGACCCUCUCCAAUUACUAGAAUAAUUGAACGAUCCAGAUCAUGCCAUCCAGUCAUUAUUGGAUUGGAUAAACCUUGCAUUUAUGGUUGAAAGGAAAAAAAAUAAAGGAGAAAAGCUAACAAAAGAGAACAGCAUCAUAGCAUCAUUCUCCACAACAUGCUCUUAGGAAAUCUAACCUAGUCGAAUCACCCAAAGCCAGCCUCCUCCGAUCUAUAACUCUACCUUCGCCAAUGUUAUGCCAUGUACAAAAAUGUAGGAUGUAGGCCAAAAAAGGAUGAAAUUUAUGAGAAAGGAUUCGCCGAAGCUUACUAACAUAAAGGAUAGGGUUCUAUAUAAAUUUGAAAGUGGAUUCAAAUAGUCAAACUGGUAGAAAUCUUGCCUCAGUAAAGGAAAUCAUUGUCUCUAAUGUUUAAUCUAAUUUAUUCAUAUCGUCAUUCAUAUAAUUUCUCUCCUGUUUUACUCAUAUAUAAUUUUGCUCCUGUGUAAAAAUAAGUUUAUAUCACGCUACUUAGAGUUCAUGAUGCGAUCCGAUAGAAUUUGAUCCGUAUCUCAAGAUUCUUGACUCUUCUUGAUUUCUGGAAGGGUAGUUCCGACCUGAUUGCAGACACAAUUU